AUUGAACGCUGGCGGCAGGCCUAACACAUGCAAGUCGGACGGUAGCACAGAGGAGCUUGCUCUUCGGGUGACGAGUGGCGGACGGGUGAGUAAUGUCUGGGAAACUGCCCGAUGGAGGGGGAUAACUACUGGAAACGGUAGCUAAUACCGCAUAACGUCGCAAGACCAAAGUGGGGGACCUUCGGGCCUCCCACCAUCGGAUGUGCCCAGAUGGGAUUAGCUGGUAGGCGGGGUAACGGCCCACCUAGGCGACGAUCCCUAGCUGGUCUGAGAGGAUGACCAGCCACACUGGAACUGAGACACGGUCCAGACUCCUACGGGAGGCAGCAGUGGGGAAUAUUGCACAAUGGGCGCAAGCCUGAUGCAGCCAUGCCGCGUGUAUGAAGAAGGCCUUCGGGUUGUAAAGUACUUUCAGCGGGGAGGAAGGUGCUGAGGUUAAUAAGCUCAGCAAUUGACGUUACCCGCAGAAGAAGCACCGGCUAACUCCGUGCCAGCCGCCGCGGUAA
rnacentral:rRNA from 1 species